rnacentral:rRNA from 1 species
UACGUAGGGUGCGAGCGUUAAUCGGAAUUACUGGGCGUAAAGCGCGCGUAGGCGGCUUUGCAAGUCGAGUGUGAAAUCCCCAGGCUUAACCUGGGAACUGCAUUCGAGACUGCAUGGCUAGAGUUCGGUAGGGGAGACUGGAAUUCCGUGGUGUAGCGGUGAAAUGUGCAGAUAUCAGGAGGAACACCGGUGGCGAAGGCGGGUCUCUGGGCCGAU